AUUGAACGCUGGCGGCAGGCCUAACACAUGCAAGUCGAACGGUAGCACAGAGGAGCUUGCUCCUUGGGUGACGAGUGGCGGACGGGUGAGUAAUGUCUGGGAAACUGCCCGAUGGAGGGGGAUAACUACUGGAAACGGUAGCUAAUACCGCAUAACGUCGCAAGACCAAAGAGGGGGACCUUCGGGCCUCUUGCCAUCGGAUGUGCCCAGAUGGGAUUAGCUAGUAGGUGGGGUAACGGCUCACCUAGGCGACGAUCCCUAGCUGGUCUGAGAGGAUGACCAGCCACACUGGAACUGAGACACGGUCCAGACUCCUACGGGAGGCAGCAGUGGGGAAUAUUGCACAAUGGGCGCAAGCCUGAUGCAGCCAUGCCGCGUGUAUGAAGAAGGCCUUCGGGUUGUAAAGUACUUUCAGCGAGGAGGAAGGUGCUGUGGUUAAUAACCGCAGCAAUUGACGUUACUCGCAGAAGAAGCACCGGCUAACUCCGUGCCAGCAGCCGCGGUAAUACGGAGGGUGCAAGCGUUAAUCGGAAUUACUGGGGCGUAAAGCGCACGCAGGCGGUCUGUCAAGUCGGAUGUGAAAUCCCCGGGCUCAACCUGGGAACUGCAUCCGAAACUGGCAGGCUAGAG
rnacentral:rRNA from 1 species